rnacentral:lncRNA from 1 species
AGUCCUUCCCACAGAGAGCGGUUUGAUAUGUCACUGAAACCAGCAUCCAGGUGGUAUUGCUCCAUAUGCCUGAGACCCUAACAAAAGCCUAAUUACAACUCAUAUGCCUGGAGCCAGGACAUGUGCAGGAUGCCAUGAUGGUCCAAGUUAUAUUGGGAUUCAGCCAAUAGAAGAUAUUUUGCCUGUCAUCCCUAAGCUUAGGACAAUAGGAACAUUGUGACAUUGCUGGACGUAGCAUCUAGGAAAUGUACUCUCCUCUCCUGCCUAGGCCCUGCCCACUAAAGGAAUUGUGACAUACCACUGAGUGCAAAACCUAGACUCUGCCAAGAGAGGGGAUUAUUACAUAUUGCAGAGCCCAGCACCUAGGUGGAGUGACUCUCAUCUUUUUCUUCUACCCCGUAUAUAGCCAGCUUGGUGACCUACUAUUUGAGUCUAUACCCAGGCCCAGACCACAGAUGAAAUUGUGCAAUAUGUGGAACAAACACCUAAACAAUAUAUAACACCUUCCUUGGCUCUGUCUACAAAGGGCACUUUUAUAUAUCACUGGGACCAUCAACCAGGUGAUGUUGUGCCAUAUAACUGAGACCGUAUCAAAAGCCUAAUAACAAGACGUAUGUCUGGAGCCCCGAUAUGCACAGGAUGGUGAUAUAACCCUCUUCUCUGGAAUGGGCCCCACACAAAGGAAGGAUAGUGACAUAUUGCAAGCCCAGGCACACAGGCCCAGAGCACAGUUGAAAUUGUGACAUAUGUACACCAAGCAACCAAGCAAUGUAUAACACCUCAUUUGGCAAUGGAAUCGAGGGCACUUUUACAUAUCACUGAGACCAGCGCCCAGCUGAUGUGAAAUAUUGGCCUGAACCCUGCCUACAAAAGCAUUGUGGCUUUUAUCUAGCUCCAUUACAUAAGUGAUGUGACUUCCUUC